UGCUUUUUUUAACAAUCUCUACGCCAUAUCGUUCCAUAAGCUUAACCAUGUAACGUAGAUUUCUAGGAUUAACAUCAUAGGUUUGACCCAGCUGAGGCCAAGACACACCUUGUUUUCUGAGUUUAUAGAUUCCUAGUUUAUCUUCAUAAGUUAAUUUCAUACAAAAAGCACC
rnacentral:ncRNA from 1 species